UAUUUAUUAGAUAACAAGCCAAUAUUCCUCUGGUCUAUUGUGGUGACUCAUAAUAACUGAUCGAAUCGCAAGGCCUAUGGCCGCGAUAAGUCAUUCAAGUUUCUGCCCCAUCAGCUUUCGAUGGUAGUGUAUUGGACUACCAUGGCGUUUACGGGUAACGGAGGAUUAGGGUUCGAUUCCGGAGAGGGAGCCUGAGAAACGGCUACCACAUCUAAGGAAGGCAGCAGGCGCGUAAAUUACCCAAUCCUGACUCAGGGAGGUAGUGACAAGAAAUAACGGACCGAGGCCUUCGGGCUUCGGGAUUGCAAUGAGCCGAAUUUACACCCCUUAGCGAGGAUCGAUUGGAGGGCAAGUCUGGUGCCAGCAGCCGCGGUAAUUCCAGCUCCAGUAGCGUAUAUUAAAGUUGUUGCAGUUAAAAAGCUCGUAGUUGGAUUUCUGGGAGGGUGCCAAUGUCCGCCGACGUGCGUGCGCAGCGGCGCCCUUCCAUCCUUCUGUUAACGCCUCUUGGCAUUCAUUUGCUGGUGGCGGGCUCAGAUAUUUUACCUUGAGAGAAUUAGAGUGUUUCAGGCAGGCUAG
rnacentral:rRNA from 1 species